rnacentral:rRNA from 1 species
AUUGAACGCUGGCGGCAUGCCUUACACAUGCAAGUCGAACGGCAGCGCGGGAGCAAUCCUGGCGGCGAGUGGCGAACGGGUGAGUAAUACAUCGGAACGUGCCCAAUCGUGGGGGAUAACGCAGCGAAAGCUGUGCUAAUACCGCGUACGAUCUACGGAUGAAAGCAGGGGAUCGCAAGACCUUGCGCGAAUGGAGCGGCCGAUGGCAGAUUAGGUAGUUGGUGAGGUAAAGGCUCACCAAGCCUUCGAUCUGUAGCUGGUCUGAGAGGACGACCAGCCACACUGGGACUGAGACACGGCCCAGACUCCUACGGGAGGCAGCAGUGGGGAAUUUUGGACAAUGGGCGAAAGCCUGAUCCAGCCAUGCCGCGUGCAGGAUGAAGGCCUUCGGGUUGUAAACUGCUUUUGUACGGAACGAAACGGUCUUUUCUAAUAAAGAAGGCUAAUGACGGUACCGUAAGAAUAAGCACCGGCUAACUACG